rnacentral:rRNA from 1 species
AUCUGUAAAGGAAUCAUCGACGCGAUUGCGCAUUUCUGAUGGGGCGACGAGGAGAAUCAGAGGAGGAUGCACUGGAUGGCCUGGUGGAAAAUGUGCGUACCAAAAAACCAAAGAAGAAUGGGAUUCCGUGAUAUCCAUUGUUUCAACCUGGCUUUGCUUGCCAAAUAGGCAUGGCGUCUCAUUGAUAAUCCUGAUUCCUUGUGUGCUACUAUUAUGAGGGCCAAGUACUAUCCCGAUGGCGUUUUGAUGAAGGCCAAACCAAAGCAUGGCGCUUCCUUCACCUAG